GCUUGAAACAUGGAUACCGUAAUUACUCUAUGUUUUCGGACACCCCUUUUUUUAGCAAAAAUAAUUAUGUUUCGUGACUCUUAAUUUUCGGACACUCGAGUUUUCGUCCAUAAUUAAUGUCUCUCAGACAGUAUAUUUUACAGCGCUAUUUAACCGAAUUUCGGUCCUGUUUCCAAAAACAUGGAAGGUUUAUGUCUGAGGGCAAAGGACCAUUACAUUUGCGUUAUUUGGUAAAUGACCUUGUAAACUGGUAUUAAACAAUGAUUUUGUCCGAUAGCAUAAGCGUUAUGACAAUUACCAGGGGUAGUGCCAAUUAACAGUUCAAUUAUCUACAGCAAUUGUACUACCCCUAAUCAGUAAAAUAACUGUGACAAACACUAAACGCUUCAAAGUGUGAUGCAACCUAUUGCAAGUUUUACGAACAAUUAGACAACAACUAUCAGAUAUAAACAAACAGAAUCCAUAGUUUGCUUUUUUUAUUGCGUUAAUUACAGGUUCAUACUAGCGAGUAUCGGUACAUCACAUGCUCAUCUUUUAACUCGUUGGUCAAAGUACAACCUUGAAGUAAUUUUCGUUCAAAUAAUUUAAGCAUUUAAAAUUAUUUAAAACAUUAAAAUUAUUUAUUGCAAACAUAUAUAACUCUAUAAUUUAUAUUACAUGGCAUGGUAUUUUACAAGCGAGUGCUAUUACAGGUAGUCGUAGAGUAAUUACGGUAGAUGGCAAUAUGGGCAUUAUGCACGUCAUUUAAUUUUGUUCCUACGUCAAAAAUUCUGGUUGCUAUGGCAACAAAUUAAAAAAAUUCUGACUGGUGGAAUUGCUGACAAUGGUGGAGCCGGUAGGGGACAUAUUUUGCUUGGCAAUAUGUCUUGUUCUGAAUUUGUUUAAGUAUUGCCCUUUGUUAUUGUUUGUAUCACAUUUUGUCUGGAACAUACUUCAAACACUAUUAGAGAUAUCAACUUGAAACUUAACAAGUAGGUAAAUCUCAGUUAGGGAAGGUGCAGUGCACAAUAUCCUUACUCUUGGUUUCCGAUGUUUUAGAGUUAUUGCCCAUUGUUAAUUUGGGUAUUUCGGUUUUGCAAUAAGCACAUCUUAAACUUGAAACUAAAAUGUUAGGGAGAUCUCAUUAUGGUGCAGUGCAAAUGAACUAUUUCUCUUGUAUUUUUAAAGAGUUAUUGCCCUUUUUCUGUUUAAGUUUUUUAAUGUUGUCAGGAGCAUAUCUAGAAAAUUAAGCAACUUGAAACUUCAUUGGAAGUAAGAUCUUAUUGAGGGGCUUCGAAGUGCAUAAAAUAAAAUAAUGCUUGCUCUACUAUUAUGAGAGUUAUUUUCUUUUCUGAAUGUUUAUACUUACAUUUUUUUCAAUAAAUUUCCAUGAUGACUGUUCAUCCACCAUUUAUUUAUGUGUUCAGUGGCAUCAAGCAAGGGACUCUGUGUAUGAAAGACACAUUUAUUGUUUAAUUGAUGUAUUGAUAUUGCAUAUUUUGUAAGGUUUAUUGGUAUGUGUGUUUGUUGGUAAUAAUGUGUAAUGUCGUCCCAAUGUUCAUAAUUCCAUAAUUUGUAGUUUGUAUGAAAAAUGUUUUAAUAAUUCGACAUAGAGUUAUAAUCAUAAAAUUAUUUGAAAAAUGUAAUCAUAAUAUAAAAAACUCCACUUCUGAUUAACAUUUUUCCCAGUGCACAAAAAAUCUUACUUCAAUUUAGUAGAUUUAUCUGUGGUUAAGCAACAAAACAUUUCAUAAUUAAACAUAUCAAAUAAUGGACAUGACAACAAACUUAAUACAACAGGUAACUUAUAUCAGGCCAAGAUUUAGCUACAUGACAUUUCUUGCAAAAACUCGACAUACAUAAUAAACAUAAACUUUAUUGAGCAAAUUGCUUGCUUGCAAAAAAGCUUAAUUUUGAUUUUAUUAUGCCCCCCUUCAAAGAAGAGGGGGUAUAUUGUUUUGCACAUGUCGGUCGGUCGGUCGGUCCUGCCACCAGAUGGUUUCUGGAUGAUAACUCAAGAACGCUUAGGCCAAGGAUCAUGAAACUUCAUAGGUACAUUGAUCAUGACAAGCAGAUGACCCCUAUUAAUUUUUCAGUCACUAGGUCAAAGGUCAAGGUCACAGUGACUCAAAAUAGUAAAAUGGUUUCCGGAUGAUAACUCAAAAAUGCUUAGGCCUAGGAUCAUGAAACUUCAUAGGUACAUUGAUCAUGACUGGCAGAUAACCCCUAUUGAUUUUCAGGUCACUAGGUCAAAGGUCAAGGUCACAGUGACUUGAAAUAGUGAAAUGGUUUCCAGAUGAUAACUCAAGAAUGCUUACGCCUAGGAUCAUGAAACUUCAUAGGAACAUUGAUCAUGACUGGCAGAUGACCCCUAUUGAUUGUCAGGUCACUAGGUCAAAGGUCAAGGUCUUAGUGACUAGAAACAGUUAAAUGGUUUCCGGAUUAUAACUCAGGAAUGAUUACGCCUAGGAUCAUGAGACUUCAUAGGUACAUUGAUAAUGACUGGCAGAUGACCCCUAUUGAUUUUCAGAUUACUAGGUCAAAGGUCAAUGUCACAGUGUCUCGAAAUAGUAAAAUGGUUUCCGGUUGAUAAAUCAAGAAUGAUUACGGCUAGGAUCAUGAAACUUCAUAGGUACAUUGAUCAUGACUGGCAGAUGACCCCUAUCAAUUUUCAGGUCACUAGGUCAAAGGUCAAGUUCACAGUGACUCGAAACAGUAAAAUGGUUUCCUAAUGAUAACAUAAGAAUAAUUAGGCCUAGGAUCAUGAAACUUCUUAGGUACAUUGAUCAAGGCUGGCAGAUGACCCCUAUUGAUUUUCAGGUCACCAGGUCAAAGGUCGAGGUCACAGUGACAAAAAACGGAUUCGCACAAUGGCUGUCACUACAACUGACAGCCCAUAUGGGGGGGCAUGCAUGUUUUACAAACAGCCCUUGUUUAUUUUCCACUGUUUGAUUACUUAAAAUUUCUCGUGCUAAGCCAUCUUUUUCUCCACCAAAAUAUCUGCAUUGUUCAUGCUUUUAUUAUCCCCCGCCAUAGGUGGAGGGAUAUUGUUUUGGCGUUGUCUGUCCGUCUUUCCGUCCGUCCGUCCAGAGCCAUAUCUUGGAAGUGCUUUGGUGGAUUUGAUUGAAACUUGGUAUGAGUAUAUAUAUGGAUAAGAGAAUGAUGCAUGCCAAAUUGCAUUGUACACCAUCUGUUAAUAACAGAGUUAUGGCCCUUUGUGUCUUGAAAAAUGCUUUUUUUGUGUGUCCAGGGCCAUAUCUUGGAAGUGCUUUGGCGGAUUUCAUUGAAACUUGGUAUGGGUAUGUAUAUUAAUAAGAGGAUGAUGCACGCCAAAUGGCAUUGUACACCAUCUGUUUAUAAAGGAGUUAUGGCCCUUUGUAUCUUAAAAAAAAUGCUUUUUUGAGUGUCAAAUAUAACACUUUUGUGUCCAGAAGCAUAUUGAAGGGGAUAUCAAUUCAACGAAUUUGCUUGUUCCUUGAUGUGUAUUGUGUGUUACAUUUUGAGAUUUUUAAUAAAAAAUAUAUGUCAGUUUUAAUUUUGAGUUUUGUGUAUGGUUUGUAAACUAACCUUGUUUAGCCAAGAAUGUGAUGAUUAUUGGACAUUUCCUUGGAAUAGGUCGAUCAUUAUAAUAAUUAUCAAGAUAUGAAUAAAAGGAAAAAAUUA